rnacentral:rRNA from 1 species
AACGAACGCUGGCGGCGCGCCUAAUACAUGCAAGUCGAGCGAGAAGACGUAGCAAUACGUUUGUAAAGCGGCGAACGGGUGAGGAAUACAUGGGUAACCUACCCUCGAGUGGGGAAUAACUAGCCGCAAGGUUAGCUAAUACCGCGUACGCUCCUUGGACUUCGGUUCAGGGAGGAAAGCGAUACCGUGGGUAUCGCGCUCUUGGAUGGGCUCAUGUCCUAUCAGCUUGUUGGUGAGGUAACGGCUCACCAAGGCUUCGACGGGUAGCUGGUCUGAGAGGACGAUCAGCCACACUGGCACUGCGACACGGGCCAGACUCCUACGGGAGGCAGCAGUAAGGAAUAUUGCGCAAUGGGCGAAAGCCUGACGCAGCGACGCCGCGUGGGGGAUGAAGGUCUUCGGAUUGUAAACCCCUUUCGGGAGGGAAGAUGGAACGAGCAAUCGUUCGGACGGUACCUCCAGAAGCAGCCACGGCUAACUUCGUGCCAGCAGCCGC